CCUGGAAACAGAUGCUAAUACCGGAUAACAACAGAUGAUGCCUAUCAACUGUUUAAAAGAUGGUUCUGCUAUCACUCUUGGAUGGACCUGCGGUGCAUUAGCUAGUUGGUAGGGUAACGGCCUACCAAGGCGAUGAUGCAUAGCCGAGUUGAGAGACUGAUCGGCCACAUUGGGACUGAGACACGGCCCAAACUCCUACGGGAGGCAGCAGC
rnacentral:rRNA from 1 species